UGAUGGCAAACCAUAUUAGCCACGCUCUAGCUUGCAAUGGCAAUCUCAAGUGUCACAUUCCUGUCCGUAGCGGAGCUUUUCUCUGUUUAAUGUAGCUAAUCCAAAUAUUCUUUCUUAAUCAUCAAUUUAUUAAAUCUCAAUUUAUGUCAAAAAAAUACUGCAUCAUAUUAUAUUUUUUUUUAAUUCUCAAUAGUCGAUAUCACAUUCCAAACUGUCCAAAAAACCAUCGUUAUUUGAUAUAAACAUAUGAUACAAAAUAUACUGAUAAUUAUAUCAGUAAAUAUAAAAUAAAUAUCAAUCAUAAAAAAUUAAAUCAUACAAUACAAAAAUAAAUAUAAAUAUACCGAUAUUUGUGUCCAACAAUCCUUACUUCUAUUUAUGAUUGACUCAACAUAAUAAUCAAUGAACUUCACAAUCUACAAACUCAAAAACAAUAUGUUUCGCUCGACAUCUUCUUAUGCAAACAAUCAUACUUUUAUAUGAUCAGAAUCAAACAUAAAAAUCAUAAAUGAUUAGAGAUAGUAGAAAAUUAUAAUAAACGAUCCUAAUAUUAUAAAUCUAGAUUUUUUUCUAACAUCAAUCAAGAUCUGAAUUUGUUUAAGUAUUUGGAUUCUCCACUAACCUAUAAAUUUUUUAGAGAGAAUAAAUUCACGAAGAUAGAGAAGCAGUUUGGAAAGAAAAAAUUUUAGAAAGAGAAAGUUGGGAGAGAAAUUGAUAGGGAAAGUAUGAAUAGAGAAAAUAAAGGGAGGAUGGUAGGAGGGGGGAGAUUUUUUUUUUCUUUUUUUUUUUUCUUCUUUUUUCUUUUUCUUUUUCUUUUUCUUUUUUUUCUUCUUCGUUUUCUUUCUUCUCUUCUCCGUUGAAAUUAGGGGAAGGGGACGAUGGCUUAGGACGGCCACACCCACGGCGGCGACCAUGACCGGCGGUGAUGGUGGCUCUAGCCUGUAGCUGUCCGACCAUGGCCACAUCCGACGACAACGAUCGGUGUGGUGGAGGGAAAAAAAAGAAAAAAACAGAGAAAUCUCAGUUGUCCAAGAAAUCCGGCGACUUAUCGGGCUUAAUCCAACAACGGCGAGGCUCUAAAAGGAGGAGAAGGGAGAGAACCUUACUUGGGUUCGACGACACCCACGGAGGGAGAUCCGGCGAUCUCUCCGAUGAAAUCCAGCGAAGAAAACUCGACGGAAAAAUCCAAAAUCAACGGUGAUUUCUCAUGAAAUUUAAUGGUGGAAAUCUGCGGGAGGGGGAUCACUAUUUAUAGGCAUAAUUAGUGGUGUUUUAGUCCGAUUUUUAGAGGGUAUAAUCCUAGUGUUUGAUGGAAAUCGAGAGAGAAGAAUCCCGGUCGGAUUCCUCUUCCUCUCCUCUCACGUAUUCCCUUUCUUUUUUUUUUUUUUUUUUUUUUGCCCUACUUUUACGUUCGUGCUGG
rnacentral:lncRNA from 1 species